AGAGUUUGAUCCUGGCUCAGGAUGAACGCUGGCGGCGUGCCUAAUACAUGCAAGUCGAGCGAGAAUCUGAUGAUUGGAGAUUCGUCAAAGAGAUUCAGAGGAAAGCGGCGGACGGGUGAGUAACGCGUAGGCAACCUGCCCUUAGCAGAGGGAUAGCCAUUGGAAACGAUGAUUAAAACCUCAUAAUGCUGUUGAAACACAUGUUUCGGCAGCCAAAGAUUUAUCGGCUAAGGAUGGGCCUGCGUCUGAUUAACUAGUUGGUGGGGUAACGGCUCACCAAGGUGACGAUCAGUAGCCGACCUGAGAGGGUGAUCGGCCACAUUGGAACUGAGACACGGUCCAAACUUCUACGGAAGGCAGCAGUAAGGAAUCUUGCGCAAUGGCGGAAACCCUGAUGCAGCAACGCCGCGUGAACGAUGAAGGCCUUAGGGUUGUAAAGUUCUGAUCUGUGGGAAGAAGAAGUGACGGUACCACAGGAGAAAGCCCCGGCUAAAUACGUGCCAGCAGCCGCGGUAAUACGUAUGGGGCAAGCGUUAUCCGGAAUUAUUGGGCGUAAAGAGUGCGUAGGUGGUUACCUAAGCGCAAGGUUUAAUCUUGAGGCUCAACCUCAUUCUGCCUUGCGAACUGGGCUACUUGAGUGCAGGAGGGGAAAGCGGAAUUCCCAGUGUAGCGGUGAAAUGCGUAGAUAUUGGGAAGAACACCGGUGGCGAAGGCGGCUUUCUGGACUGUAACUGACACUGAGGCACGAAAGCGUGGGGAGCAAACAGGAUUAGAUACCCUGGGUAGUCCACGCCGUAAACGAUGAGCACUAGUUGUUGGGUACGAAUGUAUUCAGUGACGCAGUUAACGCAAUAAGUGCUCCGCCUGGGGAGUACGGUGGCAACACUAAAACUCAAAGGAAUUGACGGGGACCCGCACAAGCAGCGGAGCAUGUGGUUUAAUUCGAAGCAACGCGAAAAACCUUACCAGGGCUUGACAUCCCUCUGACCGGAUCUUAACCGAUCCUUUCUUCGGACAGAGGUGACAGGUGGUGCAUGGUUGUCGUCAGCUCGUGUCGUGAGAUGUUGGGUUAAGUCGCGCAGCGAGCGCAACCCUCGUCGUCAGUUACUAACAUUAAGUUGAGGACUCUGACGAGACUGCCGAGGUCAACUCGGAGGAAGGUGGGGAUGACGUCAAAUCAUCAUGCCCCUUAUGUUCUGGGCUACACACGUGCUACAAUGGCCGGUACAAUGAGAAGCAAAAUGGCGACAUGGAGCAAAUCACCAAAACCGGUCCCAGUUCGGAUUGCAGGCUGCAACUCGCCUGCAUGAAGUCGGAGUUGCUAGUAAUCGCGAAUCAGCAUGUCGCGGUGAAUGCGUUCCCGGGUCUUGUACACACCGCCCGUCACACCAUGGAAGUUGGGGGCGCCCAAAGUUGGCUAAUCAAUCUGCUACCUAAGGCGAAACCAAUGACUGGGGUGAAGUCGUAACAAGGUAGCCGUA
rnacentral:rRNA from 1 species